rnacentral:rRNA from 1 species
AUUGAACGCUGGCGGCAGGCUUAACACAUGCAAGUCGAGCGGAGCGAGGGUGCUUGCACCUUAGCUUAGCGGCGGACGGGUGAGUAAUGCUUAGGAAUCUGCCUAUUAGUGGGGGCCAACAUUCCGAAAGGAAUGCUAAUACCGCAUACGCCCUACGGGGGAAAGCAGGGGAUCUUCGGACCUUGCGCUAAUAGAUGAGCCGAAGUCGGAUUAGCUAGUUGGUGGGGUAAAGGCCUACCAAGGCGACGAUCUGUAGCGGGUCUGAGAGGAUGAUCCGCCACACUGGGACUGAGACACGGCCCAGACUCCUACGGGAGGCAGCAGUGGGGAAUAUUGGACAAUGGGCGGAAGCCUGAUCCAGCCAUGCCGCGUGUGUGAAGAAGGCCUUUUGGUUGUAAAGCACUUUAAGCGAGGAGGAGGCUACUUAGAUUAAUACUCUGGGAUAGUGGACGUUACUCGCAGAAUAAGCACCGGCUAACUCUGUGCCAGCAGCCGCGGUAA